rnacentral:tRNA from 1 species
UGGGGUGUAGCUCAAUGGGAGAGUGAGAGCCUGGCCUGCACAAGGCCUGGGGUUCAAUCCCCAGCCCACAA